rnacentral:rRNA from 1 species
UAAAAGACCUAGCAAUAGGUAUGCUUAGGGAGGAGCUUGCGUCACAUUAGUUAGUUGGUGGGGUAAAGGCCUACCAAGACUAUGAUGUGUAGCCGGGCUGAGAGGUUGAACGGCCACAUUGGGACUGAGACACGGCCCAAACUCCUACGGGAGGCAGCAGUAGGGAAUUUUCGGCAAUGGAGGAAACUCUGACCGAGCAACGCCGCGUGAACGAUGAAGUAUUUCGGUACGUAAAGUUCUUUUAUUAGGGAAGAAUAAAUGAUGGAAAAAUCAUUCUGACGGUACCUAAUGAAUAAGCCCCGGCUAACUAUGUGCCAGCAGCCGCGGUAAUACAUAGGGGGCAAGCGUUAUCCGGAAUUAUUGGGCGUAAAGGGUGCGUAGGCGGUUAAAUAAGUUUAUGGUCUAAGUGCAAUGCUCAACAUUGUGAUGCUAUAAAAACUGUUUAGCUAGAGUAAGAUAGAGGCAAGUGGAAUUCCAUGUGUAGUGGUAAAAUGCGUAAAUAUAUGGAGGAACACCAGUAGCGAAGGCGGCUUGCUGGGUCUUUACUGACGCUGAGGCACGAAAGCGUGGGGAGCAAACAGGAUUAGAUACCCUGGUAGUCCACGCCGUAAACGAUGAGUACUAAACGUUGGGUAAAACCAGUGUUGAAGUUAACACAUUAAGUACUCCGCCUGAGUAGUACGUACGCAAGUAUGAAACUUAAAGGAAUUGACGGGACUCCGCACAAGCGGUGGAUCAUGUUGUUUAAUUCGAAGGUACCCGAAAAACCUCACCAGGUCUUGACAUGCUUCUGCAAAGCUGUAGAAACACAGUGGAGGUUAUCAGUUGCACAGGUGGUGCAUGGUUGUCGUCAGCUCGUGUCGUGAGAUGUUGGGUUAAGUCCCGCAACGAGCGCAACCCUUAUUGUUAGUUACCAGCACGUAAUGGUGGGGACUUUAGCAAGACUGCCAGUGAUAAAUUGGAGGAAGGUGGGGACGACGUCAAAUCAUCAUGCCCCUUAUGACCUGGGCUACAAACGUGAUACAAUGGCUGUUACAAAGGGUAGCUGAAGCGUAAGUUUUUGGCGAAUCUCAAAAAAACAGUCUCAGUUCGGAUUG